rnacentral:rRNA from 1 species
CGACCCAACAACCGUAAGGGUCGGAGCCGUGCGGUUUAAGUCGGGCUCAACGCCGGGAAACUCACCAGAUAAGACAGCUGAAUGAUAUCGGGCUGAAGACUCUACUUGACUAGCUGAGAGGAGGUGCAUGGCCGUCGUCAGUUCGUACUGUGAAGCAUCCUGUUAAGUCAGGCAACGAGCGAGACCCACGCCAACAGUUGCUAGCUCGUCCUCCGGGAUGGAGAGGACACUGUUGGGACCGCCUCUGCUAAAGAGGAGGAAGGAAUGGGCAACGGUAGGUCAGUAUGCCCCGAAUAUCCCGGGCUACACGCGAGCUACAAUGGUUGGUACAAUGGGUAUCUACCCCGAAAGGGGACGGGAAUCUCCUAAAACCAAUCUUAGUUCGGAUUGAGGGCUGCAACUCGCCCUCAUGAAGCUGGAAUCCGUAGUAAUCGUGUCUCAAAAUGGCACGGUGAAUAUGUCCCUGCUCCUU